rnacentral:rRNA from 1 species
UACGGGGGGAGCAAGCGUUGUUCGGGUUUACUGGGCGUAAAGGGCGCGUAGGCGGCCACCGCAAGUCGACUGUGAAAUCUCCGGGCUUAACCCGGAAAGGUCAGCCGAAACUGCGGGGCUAGAGUGCAGAAGGGGCAACUGGAAUUCUCGGUGUAGCGGUGAAAUGCGUAGAUAUCGAGAGGAACACCUGCGGCGAAGGCGGGUUGCUGGGCUGACACUGACGCUGAAGCGCGAAAGCUAGGGGAGCGAACGGG